UGGGGAAUUUUGGACAAUGGGCGAAAGCCUGAUCCAGCAAUGCCGCGUGUGUGAAGAAGGCCUUCGGGUUGUAAAGCACUUUUGUCCGGAAAGAAAUCCUUGGCUCUAAUACAGUCGGGGGAUGACGGUACCGGAAGAAUAAGCACCGGCUAACUACGUGCCAGCAGCCGCGGUAAUACGUAGGGUGCAAGCGUUAAUCGGAAUUACUGGGCGUAAAGCGUGCGCAGGCGGUUUGCUAAGACCGAUGUGAAAUCCCCGGGCUCAACCUGGGAACUGCAUUGGUGACUGGCAGGCUAGAGUAUGGCAGAGGGGGGUAGAAUUCCACGUGUAGCAGUGAAAUGCGUAGAGAUGUGGAGGAAUACCGAUGGCGAAGGCAGCCCCCUGGGCCAAUACUGACGCUCAUGCACGAAAGCGUGGGGAGCAAACAGGAUUAGAUACCCUGGUAGUCCACGCCCUAAACGAUGUCAACUAGUUGUUGGGGACUUCAUUUCCUUAGUAACGUAGCUAACGCGUGAAGUUGACCGCCUGGGGAGUACGGUCGCAAGAUUAAAACUCAAAGGAAUUGACGGGGUC
rnacentral:rRNA from 1 species